AAAUGCUCAUCAUGAUAGGGGUAAUUGAUAUCUGUCAACAUACAGAGAUAUUACAAUAUUAUUGACAAUAGUUCCUAUUCUGCAGUUUCAAGGAAUUAACUUUCCUUCAGAAUUUGGAAGGUGGCCAACUGCAAUGGUGUCACCUAGGGACUUCCACUGUACCCUCGAUUACAAUGUUGCUUUUGAGCAAUCUAAAGCCAUUCUGAAUUUGGAGUCUUUAUAACCUGGAAGUCUAUGGGACCUUCUCUUUAUUUCCAAUGUUCUAAAAGAUCACAGGGAUGUACCUUGAUGUGAACCUGUUUUCAUCUUGUUAAGGGUGCCAGGUAGGAUCUUUAGUUUGGAAACUUACAUUGUUAACUACUGGAAACAUUUCUUGAAUCACUAAUCAUGAAACUGCAUGCCCAAAACAUAUAUAACCUCAAUAAACUUCAGCAAUAAAGGCUCAGCUUAGCAACUCUGCUGGUGUCUGUGUCCUCAUCAUUCAGUUGCCAAUGCCAUUCCUCCUUUGGAGUCUCCUGGACUCACUGGAGCUUGACUCCAGCAAGUGACGCCUGAACAGGGACCUGAAGGACUCAGAUACGCCGGUGUGGGUACCAGACUGAUCAGACAAGUCUCAACCACCACCUCCUCCCCCACACAACUUCCCGAGACGAAGUGAAAGUCCCCGCCCAAGAAAAAGCCUUGAAGAACUUCUAGUAACAGCGUUUACAGAACCUCACUCUGCAAGAUUCCUGAGAAGCUGGCCGGGCGUGACCAAUUCUUCCCCCACAGCGGCGAUUUGCAAGAUAAAGUCAAAAGAAUGACCCUUCGACGUGGGACCAGAUAAAGAAGCUGACGGAGGAAGCCGAGGCUGUAGUUCGCCUUCAGGGUUUGCCUAUUAAGAGUAGAACUGUUUUUAUCGCUAUGCUUGGGUCCCUCCCAUUUUGACCACAUUCCUGAAUGGUAAAAGUUUCUUUCGGUCAGAACUGUGGCGAACUAUUGCAGUAUCAGUCCAGCUGGCCUUCAUAGACCUUCUAGUACAACUACUUUUCAGAUACAAGCCUGUUUACAUACACCUUAUGCCUUUCUUUUAUCUCAAAAUCAUGUCUCUAUGAAUAUUACACAUGUUGAUAAAUUUGUGAUUAAUUGUA